rnacentral:rRNA from 1 species
UCGACGAACACUUGGGAAAGAUUCUUCGGACGAAAGCCUUUGUGACUGAGUGGCGGACGGGUGAGUAACGCGUGGGUAACCUACCUCAUACAGGGGGAUAACAGUUGGAAACGACCGCUAAUACCGCAUAACCCGCUAGUAUCGCAUGAUACGGACGGAAAAGAUUUAUCGGUGUGAGAUGGACCCGCGUCUGAUUAGCCAGUUGGCAGGGUAACGGCCUACCAAAGCAACGAUCAGUAGCCGGCCUGAGAGGGUGAACGGCCACAUUGGGACUGAGACACGGCCCAAACUCCUACGGGAGGCAGCAGUGGGGAAUAUUGCACAAUGGGGGAAACCCUGAUGCAGCGACGCCGCGUGAGUGAGGAAGUAUUUCGGUAUGUAAAGCUCUAUCAGCAGGGAAGAAAAUGACGGUACCUGACUAAGAAGCCCCGGCUAACUACGUGCCAGCAGCCGCGGUAAUACGUAGGGGGCAAGCGUUAUCCGGAUUUACUGGGUGUAAAGGGAGCGUAGACGGCUAAUCAAGUCAGAAGUGAAAACCCAGGGCUCAACCUUGGGACUGCUUUUGAAACUGAGUAGCUAGAGUGCAGGAGAGGUAAGCGGAAUUCCUAGUGUAGCGGUGAAAUGCGUAGAUAUUAGGAGGAACACCAGUGGCGAAGGCGGCUUACUGGACUGUAACUGACGUUGAGGCUCGAAAGCGUGGGGAGCAAACAGGAUUAGAUACCCUGGUAGUCCACGCCGUANACGAUGAAUACUAGGUGUCAGGGNGCAAAGCUCUUUGGUGCCGCAGCAAACGCAAUAAGUAUU